rnacentral:rRNA from 1 species
GACGAACGCUGGCGGCGUGCUUAACACAUGCAAGUCGAACGGAAAGGCCCUGCUUGCGUGGUGUGCUCGAGUGGCAAACGGGUGAGUAACACGUGAGUAACCUGCCCUACAUUUUGGGAUAACUUCAGGAAACGGGGGAUAAUACCGUAUAGGAGCUCCUGCUGCAGGGGGGGGGUUGGAAAUUUUCGGCGGGUGGGGAUGGGCUCGCGGCUUGUCAGCUUGUUGGUGGGGGAGUGGCUUACCAAGGGUUUGAUGGGUAGCCGGCCUGGGUGGGUGACCGGCCACAUGGGGACUGAGAUACGGCCCAGCCUCCUACGGGAGGCAGCAGGGGGGAAUAUGGACCAAUGGGCGGAAGCCUGUUGCAGCAACGCCGGGUGCGGAAUGCCGGCCUUCGGGUUGUAAACCGCUUCCGCCUGUGACGAAGCGUUUGUGACGGUACUGGGUAAAGAAGCACCGGCUAACUACGUG